rnacentral:rRNA from 1 species
GGAGGUCACUGCUAUUGGGAUUCGACUAAGCCAUGCGAGUCGAGAGGGUUCGGCCCUCGGCGAACUGCUCAGUAACACGUGGAUAAUUUGCCCUUAGGUGGAGGAUAAUCUCGGGAAACUGAGAAUAAUACUCCAUAGAUCUAGGAUGCUGGAAUGCACUUAGAUCGAAAGUUCCGGCGCCUAAGGAUGAGUCUGCGGACUAUCAGGUUGUAGUCAGGGUAAAGACCUGACUAGCCUACGACGGAUACGGGUUGUGAGAGCAAUAACCCGGAGAUGAUAUCUGAGACACGAUAUCAGGCCCUACGGGGCGCAGCAGGCGCGAAAACUUCACACUGUGCGAAAGCACGAUGAGGGAAUCCCAAGUGCUUGCACGUAAGUGUAAGCUGUUUUUCUGUUUAAAAUGCAGAGAGAGUAAGGGCUGGGUAAGACGGGUGCCAGCCGCCGCGGUAAUACCUGCAGCUCAAGUGGUGACCGUUAUUAUUGGGCCUAAAACGUCCGUAGCCUGUCUAUUAAAUGCCUGGGUAAAUCGUGUAGCUUAACUAUACGAAUUCCGGGUAGACUGAUAGGCUUGAGACCGGGAGAGGCUAGAGGUACUCCUGGGGUAGGGGUGAAAUCCUGUAAUCCUGGGGGGACCACCAGUGGCGAAGGCGUCUAGCUAGAACGGGUCUGACGGUGAGGGACGAAGCCCUGGGGCGCAAACCGGAUUAGAUACCCGGGUAGUCCAGGGUGUAAACGCUGCUUGCUUGAUGUUAGUCGGGCUCCGAGCCCGAUUAGUGUCNGANA